GGCCUAUUAGCUCAGUUGUUUAGAGCAUCGUGUUAAUAACGUGAAGGUCGCAAGUUCGAGACCUGCAUGGGCCA
rnacentral:tRNA from 1 species